rnacentral:rRNA from 1 species
ACGGAGGGUGCAAGCGUUAUUCGGAAUUACUGGGCGUAAAGCGCGUGUAGGCGGUCCUGCAAGUCUGAUGUGAAAUCCCCGGGCUUAACCCGGGAAGUGCAUUUGAAACUGAGAGCCUUGAGUAUUGUUGAGGAAGGCGGAAUUCGUGAUGUAGCGGUGAAAUGCGUAGAGAUCGCGCAGAACACCAGUGGCGUAGGCAGCCUUCUGAGCCGUCACUGACGCUGAGGCGCGAAAGCGUGGGGAUCGAACAG